rnacentral:rRNA from 1 species
CGCGUUAAGUGUUCCGCCUGGGGAGUACGCACGCAAGUGUGAAACUCAAAGGAAUUGACGGGGGCCCGCACAAGCGGUGGAGUAUGUGGUUUAAUUCGAUGCAACGCGAAGAACCUUACCAGGGUUUGACAUCCUGCGAAUCCCUUGGAAACUAGGGAGUGCCUUCGGGAGCGCAGAGACAGGUGGUGCAUGGCUGUCGUCAGCUCGUGUCGUGAGAUGUUGGGUUAAGUCCCGCAACGAGCGCAACCCACGUCUUUAGUUGCCAGCAUUUAGUUGGGCACUCUAGAGAGACCGCCGGUGAUAAACCGGAGGAAGGUGUGGAUGACGUCAAGUCAUCAUGCCCCUUACAUCCUGGGCUACACACGUACUACAAUGCUACGGACAAAGGGUUGCAAACUCGCGAGAGCUAGCUAAUCCCAUAAACCGUGGCUCAGUUCAGAUCGUAGGCUGCAACUCGCCUACGUGAAGGAGGAAUCGCUAGUAAUCGCAGGUCAGCAUACUGCGGUGAAUACGUUCCCGGGCCUUGUACACACCGCCCGUCGCACCAUGGAAGUG